rnacentral:piRNA from 2 species
CCCAGAGGUCGAUGGAUCGAAAC